GGUUAGAAAAAGGCCAUUGGAAUUGGCCGUUGAGACAUCAUCAGUGACUUUAGAGAGAGCACUUCCCAUUGAAUGAUGAGUUUGGAAUCCAGCCUGUAGAGGGCUAAGGAGAGAGUGAGAGGGAAGGAGUUGGAGGCAUGUGUUCUGGGUGGGCUCCUCAGGGAGGUAAGUCACAGAAGAGGAGAGGGAGGAGACAGCAGGCAGCAGAGACUGGUGGGUCUUCACAAAUAGAGGAGUUGUGGCAAUGUAGGUAGUGGAGAAGCAGAGAGGGAAUGACUGAAGAUAAGUGGACAGUCUGCAGCAGAACCGAGGACGUAAUGAGAUCACUUGUGCACAUGGAGCAGUCAGCCUUGUUCAGGAGAAUGGCCCCCUCAUUACAUGAGACAGAGGUGAAGGGAGAGGUGUUGUUAGAAGAAAACAGAAAAGAUGCGAUUGAACAUGAUCCCUUAGAAAAUUAUAGUAUGCGGGGCAGCUGGGUGGCUUAGUGGAUUGAGAGCCAGGCCAGGAGGCAGGAGGUCCUAGGUUCAAAUCUGGCCUCAGACACUUCCUAGCUGUGUGGCCCUGGGCAAGUUACUUGACCCCCAUUGUCUAGCCUUUACUGCUCUUCUGCCUUGGAACCAAUACACAGUAUUGAUUCCAAGAUGGAAGGUAAGUGUUUAAAGGGAAAAAAAGAAUAAAGAAAAAAGAAAAUUAUAUUAUGCUUACAGAUGAUACAUCAUGAAAUAAUAUAAAUCUUCUGUAUGUAUGCACCAAGUAGUAUAAUUAUCUGUGAAGAGAGGACUGAGAGUACAGACAGUCAAAGUGAAAAAGAAAGACUGAAUGUAGAGACAACGUUACGGAGUUUGAGUUCUAGUCUCAGCUUUUAGGAUUUUGUUCAAGUCACUCAAACACUCUGAGCUCAUGGCCUGAGCUGUGAAUGCAAUGAGAAUGCUUCCCCUGCCUGUGCUCCAAGUUUCUUGUGAGGAUCUAACAUGAAUAUGAGUAAAAGUCUUUAUCAGUGAAGUCUUCCUUUAGUUGUGAGCUAAUGGCAUGUUGGAAUGAUUGAUUCUGCCCAUUUGUGUUUGUAGACUUUUCUCUUUGCCUGGGGAAAUAGAAUGAAAGUCAGUUUUUAUUCUGCCAGUUGAGGAAAAGGGAUGUAUAUGUGUCGAGGUGACUAUGGGUAUAUGUUGUUUGUUUCUUUCAGAAGGAAAGAUUAGACUUGAAAUGAAAGAGAUGACUGCAGAGCUAAGCCUGUCUGGGGAAGAAACUCAGAGGCAAAGAUGCAUUGGUGAUGGUGCCUGUGAUUCCACUUGGAGAGAAAACUUGGAUGUACAUCAGAAAAUCCACACUGGAGGGAAGCCUUACGAAUGUAAUCAGUGUGGUAAAACAUUUGAAAAGAGAGCUUAUCUUACUGUACAUCAGAGAAUCCACACUGGAGAGAAACCUUUUAAAUGUAAUCAGUGUGGAAAGGCUUUUACACAGAAGUCUGGUCUUACUGUACAUCAGAGAACCCACACUGGAGAGAAAUCUUAUGACUGUUACCCGCUUAGUAAAGUCCUCAGUCAAAAGUCAACCCUUAUUUUCUCUCAACCACUGCCAAGUCAGUAAACAGCAGUCCUUGGGGGCAGCUGUGUGGAUCCCAGCCAUACCUUUGAGAACGUUUGCUCUACUGAUGACCCUGGGGUCAGGCUGCUGAUUAAAGGAAGAUUGCAGGGACCCUGGACUGGCCCUGGACGUGGGGCCUCAGCACAUUGAUCAGACAUGGUCCCAGGCUGUGCCUAAUGAUGGAGGAGCACACAAGCCUGCCAGAUGAGUAAGGCAAAAGAAUGAGAACAGGCUACAGCUCCCUAAAAGGCCUGCAUGAGUACAACUUGGACUUACCUGAGCCCCCGGAUCAGGAGGUAAGGACUUUGGAGAGGGCUUCUGUAAGAGUGUGUGUGUGUGCUUGCUUGGGGAAGAAUUCUCUAGGCCUGUGGCUGGGGUUUGCUAAGCCGGGGCCUGUGAAGGAGACUUAAACCCUUAUCCCCUUUGGGGGUGUUUCUGAGUGCGGACUUGAAGAGUAUGCAUUUCCCAAAUCCCGAGAGGGAUUGGGUCAGAAAUCCGAGAAAGUGAAUGGUGUCCUCUCCGGAGCCUGCCCCUGGUUCUGGUAUUUGAGAUUUUGACCAAAAUUUAGGCUGAUUUUGGAACCAUCUGUUCUGUUCUGUCCUGUUCUGUUCUGGUAAAUUAGUUCUGUUUCUCUAGAAUUCUGCUUUGUUUUGCCCCAUGGCCUGUUUUACUCUUAAGAGUCUGCCUGCUUUAAGGCUUGGUCUUCAAGUUCUGUUUGGACCCCUACCUUCUCUAGGAGUCUGCCUGCUUGAAGGUUCGGUCCUGAAGUUCUGUUUGGGUCCUAGAGUCCUGUUGGCCAUGGAGUUCUGUAAAUCCAGAUUCAGUAGAGGCUGUUGGGUUGCUGGACACAGCUUAGUCCCACAGUCAGGUCACUAAAGAGCCAUCUUUCAGUGACUUCAGGGAACCUUUGGGUUCAAAGGUGUAUGAAGGUGUGAGAGUGUGUCCUAUAGGCUUCUGUUGAGUCUUUGUUGUUUUUGUGCCACUAAAUGAAACAAAGAAAGAGGCAAAAAGAGUUUAAGAUGCAGACGGGAAUCUCUUUUGUAGUGGCUGUUCCCUGCUCCCUCCAACUGUAUCCCAAUGGAGCAGCCUAUGGGGGAAGGGCUGGACUGUGUCCCAUGGCAAGCUCCUAAGCAGGAGAGAGAGUCUGAAUAGGAGGGGAUUUACAAGUCCCUUCCUUGAGAAAAACAGCGAGCCUCAGGAACAGCUCACCUCCAACCCAAAUGGGAGCAGAUAGUUUUGUCCAGAUACUACAAGAGCAUUUUGUUAGAAAUCACAGUCAAAAAGAGUCAGUUUUUGAUAGAUCAGUUCAGAGAGAGCUAGGGAACAAGAACGUCAGCUCGGCCAAUCAGAUGGCUUAGCUCAUCACAUGUUCCCUGAGUACACUGAAACUUUUCAUGAAUUUUCUCCCUGCAAAUAUUUUUUUCUUGAGAAUGGAUCCUAUAGACACCUAUUUUUUCCUCUCAAAGCAUGCUCGUCACAGCAUUGUAUGUUACCAUUUGCCUUUGACACAGUUUCGUCUCUAUGUAAAAAGGGGGGAGUUGCAAACUUGAACUUUCCACUGUCAAAAAUCGUUAGCAAAGGACAAAAGCAAAUACCUGUUCAAUGAUUUUUACCUCUUUCUUCCUUUGGAUGGGCCCCCAAAGGAGCGAAAGAGAGAAAAUUCUGAGCAGAAAAGGGAGAUUUUUUUACUCCACAGUUAGCAAUUUUCAUUUAAAAUUAAUUCUCAACUUGGGAGGAUUGCUAAUGAUUUUGAUAUGGUACAAAUGUAAUGUAUUGUGGUUACUGUUUGUCAGUUAAAUGUGAAAUGUUGCCAGAUUUUUAUUGAGCACAAAAACUCCUGGUUAGAAGUUUGUUUUGUUAAACCUUGCAAUGAAUAAUGGUUUCAGUGAAUUUGAGAAUUGUCUAAGUGUGAUUGAUAAACAGCCUGACACAGAGAGGAAUGUUUAUUCUGUAUGGACAGAAAUUGUACUGGCUACUUUAUAGAUAUAAAAGUCAUUCAGAAAAAGUUAUGUUGUUGAGAAGAACUUAUUCUAGAAUUUAAAAUUGGGAAUCUUUCAAAUAAGAUUUAUUUUAAUGUAUGUGCUGUCAGAACUAGCAGCAAGAAAUCACAUGACACACAAGAAGUUUUUAAAGUGGUUAUUCUGUGCAUGGGAUUUAAUGAUAUAAGUGUUAAGAAUUUGAUAUUUUACAAAAGAGGAAAAUUUUAAAUGAUGUUGUCUUUAAUCAAGGUUAUAUGAAUUAUUUUUUUUUAAAUGUGCAAAAUGCAUAAAAAGGAAUUUGUAAUCUAGAGACGAACAUGUAUUCAGAUACCAAAUGCUGGAAAUUAGUAAUGCUGAGUGAAUGCAAAAUAUGUAUGUAUUUGUAUUAUGAAGAGAAUUCAAUUUUCCACCUAAAUAGGUCAAGGUUAUAUGAUAUACAAACUGUAUGUCCUUAACAAGACAAAUUUAACCAACCCUGAAAUCAAGAGGGCUUGUCAUUAGGAUUAAAUACAGUCUAGCUUCAGAUAUAUCUAAGAGGUCAGGCUGGAAUGCCAGGUAACAUGUAGCUAACUAGGGAAAAGUGAUUAAGUACAUGUGAAAGGAAAUAACUUUAUAUCUUAUAACCUAUCUAUAUAAGUUAAUCAUUGAAUUUUGGGGUCUCUGGAUUCAUUUUAUGAAGUGCUCCACUUCAAUAAGAGUAAUGAAUAGAGGUACUAACCGAUACUAUGAAUUCUAGUAUGAAAUAGACACAACAAAGUAUAAAUUGGAAUAAUGUUGAUGGACUUAAAUUAGGAAUGUGGCAAUGUUUUGAGCUAGAAAGAAACUAAACUGGAGGUUCUAUUCUACUUUAGACAGGUUUGAGAGGAGUCCAGGUAAAUGCUUUGCACUUCAGUUUGGUUACACUGAAACAUUGCUAAAGGACUUAAUCAGAGUUAUUUGGAAGUGUGGAGUUCAAACUGAAAUCCACUGAGAGUAUAUUAUUAUGAAAGGGGUUUGAUACAUUCAAACUUUUACAAUAUAGUGAGCUCACUGGUUAAAGAAGGAUAGGCCAUGGUUGCUUAAGUAAUAAAAUCUAAAUCAAGCCAGGCAGCCUUAGGAUAAAUUGCUCAGAAGUUAUUAACCCCUUCCUUGCACACAGGAAGAAGAAAGAAGUGCUCGUAAUUGUUCCACACUGAUACUUAGGGACUGAAAUAGGGAUCUCAAAAGGUUGAAAAUCAGUGGGUGAUAGAACUUAAAGAUGAGUAUAUUUUUAUUGUAUAUUAAUUGUACAUAUAUAUAAUUGUAUAUAUUGUAUAAUUGUAUAUGUACAAUAAUAAUUGUAUAUACUUGUUUUAAGGUGCUCAAGCAAGCAAAUAUUGCCAGUCCUGUCUGACCAAAAAGCUUAUUUGAAGCUGUGGAAUCUUAAUGCAAACAUUCCAUGUCCAGAGUGAUAAAAUGAGUUGAGUAAUAUGUAAUUUAUAAGUUUCCUCACACAAGUUUUGGGGAUUUGUUGGUUGAUAUUUUGAUUACAUUUUGAUCUGUAUAAGGAUAUACAUUGCAAACAGAAGCCAAAGAGUGGGUAGGAUGUUAAAAAUGGCAUAUAUGUGAAAAAUGCUUGCUCAGAAUUUUAUGAUUAUGUGCGUUGCUGCUAAAAUAUGUGUUUAAGUAUUGUUUAGAUGUGAACAAAAGCUCAUUGUAAACCUGUGCCAUAGAUUUUGUUCAAUACUCAGUGAUUACCUCAGUUUACCAAUUUGUAUUAUGAACUGAAAUUUAUAAUGGGUGAGCACUAUGCUAAAGAUAGUGGUUCAAUGCCAUAAUCCUUUAAAUCAGAAUUCAUUUGGGUUAUCGAUUAGCAAUUGAAGUAAUACCAAUAAUAUGUUUGUUUGACUUGAGUUAGUCAGAGAAGGUGGGAUGGUGUGUUGGAUUUGAAUUUGGAUGAAAGGGACUUUGAUAUAAAGUCCAUAAAGCUUUAGUAUGUGGGUUUGUAAAGGAAGAAUGGAAGUUGUGUUCUGCUUUUUAAGCAGAGGGGUUUUGAAGGAAGACAGAGAGAGAGAGAGAGAGAGAGAGAGAGAGAGAGAGAGAGAGAGAGAGAGAGAGAGAGAGAGAGAGAGAGAGAGAGAGAGAGAGAGAGAGAGAGAGAGAGAGAGAGAGAGGGAGAGAGAAGGAGAAAGAAAACAGAGAGAUGCUCUGCUCUUGUAAUUGGAUCCCUGACCUAGGGAUAAUCUCUAAAAUUAAUGUAUGUGUAGUGGGAAAAUGACACAUGAUUCUUUAAUUUCUCUGGACAGUUACCCAGAAGUGAUUCCUGUAUGGCCUUGUCUUAGUCUUUCAGAGGUCCUAGGUCCAGGAGAUGAUACAGCCCUGAUUUAUAUUACUAUGGAGCUACUUAAUUCAGCACUCAUGUUCUUUAUUUCAGGUUUUGUGACUAAAGUGUGAUGUGUAAAUUAUUGACAAAAUACCUGAGAAUAAUUGAGUGAUCAGCCUUGUAGGGAUAUCAAAGGCUUGUUUGGGGGUAUGGAGAUUUGUUUCUGGACUGCUGAUAAGCAGAAUUUCUCUCAACUGAAAUGGGUGAGACUUGUCUUUUAAAGCAAAAGAAGGCUUCUAGGAUUUAAUGGUGACAAAGUACACCACGGACACAGAAUGUCCUGGAAUGGUUACAGAGGCAUUUUCUGGGCUCACCUAGAAAAUGGACCUUUUCUAACCAUCUAGGCUAUUAACUACAAUGAUGGCAUGAGCUGGUGAUAGCAUUGACCUGCAUGUGAAGCCACUCACAGUGUCCUUUGUGGCAUGAGGAGAUAUUUUCCCUUUUGGGCCUUCUUCCUUCAUGAUAAUUCCCAUAAUCAGCACAUAAUGCAAAUUGUGAUAUUAAAAUGUCCAUUUCCUCAAACAACCCUAAUAAUUGGGAAUUCUCAAAUUGUUAGGGACAUACUUUGAGAAGUAGGUGAAGUUUACUCAUGGAUGGCUUGUAUUUGCAGCCUUAAUUUACCACAGUUGACGUUUGGAUCUUGAGCUUGGAAAUAUAGCUCAAAGAUUUAUUGGAUUUCCCCAGAAUCUGGGGUAAAGGAAUACAUCUGUAACAUAUUGUUACUCAAGUGUUUAUAGAUGUUAAUAGUUAAUGUGUACUUUGCAAAAGGAUAUUCUUUAACAGAAACAUCACAUACCAGCUCUGCAAACAACUCAGGAAUCCGAUUUCCUAAAGGGAUCUAUUCUUGACAGAAGAUGAUUUCUGAAGAUGGAGUCUGUUGGCUAAGAUACCCAAAUGCAAAUGUGUAAUAUUAAUUGCUACUGUAUUAAUGUUCUGUUUCUAUCUGCUAUUCUAGUUUUUUCCCCAGUCCUGGUUUCUGCACUUCUGUCUUAGGGGCUGGCUCUCCCCCUUGUGACCUGUCUGCCCAUUGGGGGAAGUGGUGGCUGGAUACCCUUCAGAUCUCCAAGCAGGUCUCCACCGACCUGUGACCCCCGCAUUCACUGAGGACACGGCCCUAGAGACCCUGUGUCUGCGGUCUUCCCCUCCCUGUUCACGUUUGGACUACUCCCCUGUGAGAGAGAGGUUCAUAGGCAUUUGUAAACUCGGCAACCAUUCCAGCCUGCAGCCCUGGAUAUUGCCUGUAGCCAAUCCCUCUCUCCUGACCAUAGGCAGGGACAGCUCUACACCCAUUCUCAGCAGUGAAGAAGCUACAGAAGACAUGGACCUUCACCCUUUUUCCCUUAGAUACUUGGAGAGGGGAGAGAAUGGGAUGGCAGGGGGCACUGAACCAGGUGGGGCCUGAGAUUCUGGCCCUCCUGGAGGCUGUGUGGUUCCCCUUUGGAUGGCUGGGCCUGCCAGAUGGCAGGACUCAUUUACCAGAAGCAGUGGGGAGACAGCUAGCAAAGAGAAUACAGGACACCACACAUACGGGAGGCACAAAAUAGUGAUAUGCUGGACAUAGACUUUGUCUUUCAUAAUAUGCACCGAAUCUGCAAAGAUAUCACUUAGAGAUGUUAGACGUGUGCGGGUUAAGCAAAAGGGGGGCCCGAAGGAACCAGAGGCACCCAGUGAAGAGGGCUGGAGCCAGGAGCCAGUGGUAGGCAGACUUUACAGAAAUCAAGCCAGGGACAUAUGGGUACAGGGGCCUUUUAGUCCUGGUAGACACCUUUGCAGGUUGGGUAGAAGCUUAUCCAACAAAACAUGAAACUGCCUCAGUGGUAGUUAAGAAAUUAAUGUCAGAGAGCAUUCCUGCAUUUGGACUCCCAGUGGGAAUAGGGUCAGAUAAUGGGUCUUCUUUGGUAGCCAGGGAGACUCAGCAAUUAGAAGGAGACCCUGACAAAAUUGGUCCUAGAGUCUGGCGAGAACUGGGUAAGCCUCCUCCCCUUUGACCUCCUGAGGGCCCGGUCCACCCCAUAUGUACAAGGUAUGACCCCAUUUGAAAUUCUGUUCGGUAGACCCCCUCCCCUCCUUCCUAAAUUGGGACUAGAAAAUUGGACUGAAUAUGAUAACCAAUAUCUGUUCUCUUCCCUGAAGGCUUUGGACAAGCUCAGGAAAACUACCACUCAGACUCCCCCUCCGUGUUGCCCACCCCAGAUGAGCUGCCCCUCGCCUCCCCCCACCAGAUUUCCACCUGCGCUCUCUCCUCCGUUUCCCCUUCAGGGAGGGGAUAACGAAGCAGCAGUGAUAGCUUCCCUGGCAGAGUUCCCCUCUCCCCCUGCACACCAUACUCGGGGCCUCAGACGUCGUGUUCUUAGCCCUGAAGCCCCCUCUUCUACUAUUGCCCUCCCAGUUCAUCCAGUUGGCCCUAUGGUGCCUGGAGGUCCCUUUGUCCACCAAUAUUGGCCUUUCACUUCAAGUGAUAUUUAUAAUUGGAAGCAUCAAAACCCACCCUUUUCUGAACAGCCUCAGAAAUUAAUUGACUUGGUCGAGUUAAUUUUCUUGACUCACAGUCCCACCUGGGAUGACGGCCAACACCUCCUCAGCACCAUCUUUAUCCCGGAGGAGUGCAACCGCAUCUAUGCCGAGGGAUGCAAACUGGUCCUUGGUGAUGAUGGUCAGCCCACUGCAGACCCAACCCGUCUUGCUGCUGUUUUUCUUACCACCCCGUCCGGACAGGGACUUCUCCUCGGAGGAAGGUAGGGAGCUUAUUCGAAUCUACCGCCAGACUCUCUUAACCGGGCUCCAGGUGGUGAGCCGGAAGCCCACUAAUUCGGCUAAACUUGAAUCUAUGUCAGGGCCCUGAAGAUACUCCAGCAGUGUUUUUAGAGCGCCUACAGGGGGCAUUUAGGAUUUAUUCCCCCUUAGACACCAUGGUGCCCCCAGUCAAAUCACAGUUCUUUUAGCAUUCGUUAAUCAGGCAUCCCCAGACAUUCGAAUGAAGCUCCAAAACCUAGACGAAUUCAUCAACCAGCCCCUCUCUUGUUAUGGGGGUUGUCCCUCGUUCUUCUGAGCGCCAAAAUGUUAUGGGCGGGGGAAGGAUACCCUUGGGUUCGGGAAGGAUACCUUUUGCAAGCAUGCAAGACUCCAAAACUUAGCUUAAAAACAAAAAAGAGAUUUAUUAAUUUAGAGAGUAAUGUUGAGAGUGGCCAGGAGGAUAGCAAGGUGGAACAGCAAGAUGGGGAGCAGUUCCUUGGGAGGACAGCAUGGAUGGAAAGGCUGUCCCCCAGACGACAUCAGUUCUGGGGUUUAUAUACUCUUUAGAUGCUAUGUCCUGGUGUGGACAGGAGCUAGAGUAUUAGUCCCUCAGGCAUUUGGUGGGGUGAGGUGGUCAUCUGACUGGGGUCUGCUUGGGGGCAUAAAGAUUCAUCUCUUUGUCCAUCUUAAAUCUAGAGGACAAAAGAGGGUAAACAUCUCAGGACCCUAGGUGGGGGGUCAUUGGGUGUUUCUAGGUUAAGAGUCAGGAGGAGGCAAAGCAAGGGAGUUUCCCUGAUAAUAGUUCCUGGGUUUCUGGGGUACACUGCCCAUGUCACUCUGACCUCCUAAAAAUACCGAGAAGGUCUUUAACUCCCGGGAAACCAAGGAGGAGAGGAGAGAGUGGUUCAGAUGGGAAGACCUUGAGUGCCAGGCACAGCUCAAGAGGUAGGAAGAGGAAUAGGAAAAGAACAGGCAGAAUGACCUCCAAUCUGGAGAAGAAAAAUCUAGGAGACAGUUUCUGAGAUGUCAGCAAAAGACAACUCACAAACAUUCAUUACGUCCCUGGAUAUCCUUGAUCCUUUGUUCUUCCAAAUGAACUUUGUUAUGGUUUUCUCUAAUUCAGUAAAAAAAGGUUUUUGGAAGUUCAAUGGGUAUGGCACUAAAUAGAUAGACAAGUUUGGGUAGGAUUGUCAUUUUUAUUAUGUUAGCUCGUCCCACCCAUGAGCAAUCAAUAUUUUUCCAAUUGUUUAGAUCUAUUAUUAAUUGUGUGGAGAGUGUUUUGUAGUUGUGUUCAUAUAGUUCCUGUGUUUGUCUGGGCAGAUGUAUUCCUAAGGAUUUUAUAUUGUCUAGAGUGAUUUUAAAUGGAAUUUCUCUUUCUAAUUCUUGCUGCUGAGAUGGAUUGGAGAUAUAUAGAAAUGCUGAUGACUUAUGUGUGUUUAUUUUGUAUCCUGCAACUUUGCUAAAGCUGCAUGCUGUCCCCAUGGGGGAACAGCCUUUCCUUUCAUAGCUUUUUGAUUGAUUCUCUAGGAUUCUUUAAGUAUACCAUCAUAUCAUCCUCAAAGAGUGAUAGCUUGGUCUCCUCAUUGCCAAUUUUAAUACCUUCAAUUUCUUUUCCUUCUCUAAUUGCUACUUCUAGUGUUUCUAGUACAAUGUUAAGUAAUUGGGGUGAUAAUGGGCAUCCUUGUUUCACUCCUGAUCUUAUUGGGAAGGCUUCUAGUUUAUCCCCAUUGCAGAUGAUGUUUGCUGCUGGUUUCAGAUAUAUACUGUUUAUUAUUUUUAGGAAAGGCCCUUGUAUUCCUAUACUUUCUAGUGUUUUCAAAAAGAAUGGGUGUUGUAUUUUAUCAAAGGCUUUUUCUGCAUCUAUUGAGAUAAUCAUGUGAUUUUUGUCAGUUUACUUGGUAAUAUGGUCAAUUAUGUGGAUAGUUUUCCUAAUGUUGAACCAUCCUUGCAUUCCUGGCAUGAAUCCUACCUGGUCACAGUGAAUAACACUUGUGAUGACUUGCUGGAGUCUUUUUCCUAGUAUCCUAUUUAAGAUUUUUGCACCUAUAUUCAUUAGGGAGAUGGGUCUAUAUUUUUUUUCUCUGUUUUUAACCUGCCUGACUUUGGGAUCAGUACCAUGUUUGUGUCGUAAAAAGAAUCUGGUAGAACCAAUUCUUGGCUUAUUCUGUCAAAUAGCUUGUAUAAUAAUGGGAUGAGUUGUUCUUUGAAUGUUUGAUAGAAUUCAUUUGUGAACCAUCUGGACCUGGAGAUUUUUUCUUAGGGAGUACUUUGAUGGCUUGUUCUAUUUCUUUUUCUGAUAUGGGGUUGUUUAGGUAAUUUAUUUCUUCCUCUUUUAGUCUAGGCAAUUUAUAUUUUUGUAAGUAUUCAUCCAUUUCACCUAGAUUGCCAUAUUUGUUGCCAUAUAAUUGGGCAUAGUAGUUUUUAAUGAUUGCCUUAAUUUCCUCUUCAUUAGAGGUGAGGUCUCCCUUUUCAUCUUGGAUACUGACAAUUUGUUUUUUUUUUCUUUCCUUUUUUAAUUAGACUGAUUUAAAUAGAUGUUGUCUAUUUUAUUUGUUUUUUUCAAAGUACCAGCUUCUAGUCUUAUUUAUUAAAUCAAUAGAUCAAUUAAAUCAAUAAAUCAAUAGACUUUCAAUUUUAUUAAUUUCUCCUUUGAUUUUUAGGAUCUCUAAUUUAGUCUUCAUCUGAGGAUUUUUAAUUUGUUCACUUUCUAGUUUUUUAAUUUGCAUGCCCAAUCUGCCCUUCUUAAUUUGUUUAUAUAUGAACUCAAGGAUACAAAUUUCCCCCUGAGUAUUGCUUUGGCUGCAUCCCAUAGGUUUUGAAAGGAUGUCUCACCAUUGUCAUUUUCUUCACUGAAGUUAGUAAUUGUUUUGUUCUUUAACUACCCGGUUUUGGAGAAUCAUAUUGUUUAAUUUCCAAUUAAUUUUUGAUUUAUCUAUCCAUGUACCCUUACUAAUUAUUAUUUUCAUUGCAUAGUGGUCUGAGAAGGUUGCAUUUAUUAUUUCUGCCUUUUUCACUUGAUUGCAAUGUUUUGGUGCCCUAAUACAUGGUCAAUUUUUGUGAAUGUACCAUGUGCUGCAGAAAAGAAGGUGUAUUCCUUUUUGUCCCUAUUUAUUUUUCUCCACAUGUCUACUAGCUCUAAGUUUUCUAAGAUUUCAUUCGCUUCUUGCACCUCUUUCUUAUUUAUUUUUUGGUUUGAUUUAUCUAGUUCAGAUAGAGGAAGGUUUAGAUCUCCCACUAGUAUAGUUUUUCUAUCUAUUUCAUCCUUGAGCUCCUCUAGAUUCUCCUUUAGAAAUUUGGAUGCUAUGCCAUUUGGUGCAUACAUAUUGAGUACAGAUAUUUCCUCAUUGUCUAUACUGCCUUUUAUCAGGAUGUAAUUACUUUCCCUAUCUCUUUUUACUAGAUUUAUUUUUACUUUGGCUUUGUCAGAUAUCAUGAUUGCGACUCCAGCCUUCUUUUUAUUAAUUGAUGCCCAAUAGAUUUGGCUCCAUCCUCUUCCUUUCACCCUAUGUGUAUCUAUCUUCCUCAUGUGUGUUUCUUGCAGACAACAUAUGGUAGGAUUUUGGAUUUUAAUCCACUCUGCUAUUCACUUGCGUUUUAUGGGUGAGUUCAUUCCAUUCACAUUCAGUUAUGAUUACUAGCUGUGUAUUUUCCAGCAUUUUGAUUUCUACUCCUUGACCUGCCUUUUCUUCUUCCACUAUUUCCUUCUACACCAAUUCUUGUUUAUAAUCAGUCCCCCUAGUUCCCACCCUCAUUUUACUUCCCUUUCUACCACCCUCCCUUCUUAUACCCCCCUUAUUUUCCCUUGUAGUCUUUUUAAAAUUGCCCCCCCCCAUCCUCUCCCUCCCUUAUACUGCUUCCUUCCCCACCAGUCUGUUUGUUACCCUUCUACUCCCCUAUAGGGCACAAAUCUAUUCUCUACCCCAAUGGAUUGUAUUGUUCUUGCCUCUUUGGGUCAGUUUCAAAGCAUGUAAGAGUUGAGUAUUUCUUAUCUACAAACUACCCUUCUAGUGUAUUGAUGUUCUCCCCCCUCCAACCAUGAGCUUCUUGUGACACAUAAAUUUACCCCCAUUUGUUUCUUUUACCAUUUCUUUUAGUAUUAAUCUCUUUUUUAAGCUCUAGUUAUAUAUAUAUAUAUAUAUAUAUAUACACAUGUAUAGGUAUUUAUGCAUGCAUAUAUCUAUAUACCUAUUUAUGUCUUGUCCUUUCAUUCUAUAUAGUUUGUCACUGUUCCCUCUAAGUGUAAUUCUUCUAGCUGCCCAGGUGAUAGAAACAGUUUUUAAGAGUUACCAAUGACCUCUUUUCUUAUAGGUAUACAUAUUAUUUAAUUUAUUGAGUCUCUUAAAAAAGUUUUUGUUGUUCUUUUGUUUUGUUUUGUUUUGUUUUUCUUUUCCCCCUCUUUUUUACUUACCUUUUGAUGAUUCUCUUGAGUCCUGUGCUUGGACAUCAAAUUUUCUGUUCAGGUAUGUUUUUUCUUCACGAAUGCUUGGAAUUCUUCUAUUGUGUUGAAUGAUCAUACUUUCCCAUGUAAGAAUAUAGUCAGUUUUGAUGGGUAGUUGAUUCUUGGUUGUAGACCUAGUUUCCUUGCUUUCCGGAAUAUCAUAUUCCUUGCCUUUUGGUCCUUCAGUGUGGAUGCAACCAGAUCCUGUGAUAUCCUCGCUGUGGUUCCAUGGUAUCUGAAUGACUUCUUCUUGGCAGCUUGUAAUAUCUUUUCUCUGGUCUCAUAGUUUUUGAAUUUGGCUAUAACAGUCCUGGGUGUAGUCAUUUGGGGAUUAAAUAUAGGAGGUGAUCUGUGGAUUCGUGCAAUUGCCACUUUUCCCUCUUGUGCUAGGAUAUUGGGGCAGUUUUCCUGAAUAAUUUCCUGUAGUAUUAUGUCCAGGCUUUUUCUUUUGUCAUGGUCUUCUGGUAGACCUAUGAUUCUUAAAUUGUCUCUUCUCAAAUGAUUUUCUAAAUCAUCUGUUUUGUGAAUGAGAUGCUUCAUAUUUUCCUCAAUGUUUUCAUUCCUUUCAUUUUGUUUUAUAGUGUCCUGCUGCCUUGUGAGGUCACUUAAUUCCAGUUGUUGUAUUCUAGUUUUUAAAGACUGGAUUUCAUCACUGGAUUUUUGGUCAUCCUUUUCCUUCUGGUCUGAUUUUCUUUGAAGGUCAUCUUUCUUCCUCUUUACCUCGUCUUUCAUCUCCUUUGUCUCAUCUUUCAUCUUCUUUGCCUCAUUUUCCAGUUGUUUGAUUUUGGCUUUCAAGACUCUAUUUUCUUGUUUUAGUUCAAGUGCCUCUGUUUCCAAAUGACUUAUCAUAAUUUUAAAGUUCUUUUUCCAAUUGUCUUCAGCCUCUCUUAAUUGUGUUUUGAGUUCUUCCACAGCCUGUAUCCAAUUUGCUGGGAUUUCUGAUUUAUUGUUUGCUGAUCUCUCCCCUUCUGUUCCAUUUGCUGAAUAGAAGGUGUCUAUUGUAGUUUCUUUCUUCUUUUUCUGCUGUUUACUCAUAUUCACCCCCUUCUUUACUCCCCGUAUUUGUCUGUGCUCUUGCUCCUCUCAUUUUUUUGUUUUUGUUUUGUGGGCUUCUGUCAAUCUCCCCUCUUGGAGCUUUAACAGUAGAUCUCCUGGUGUAGUCUUGGUGUAGUGUAGUAGGGAGUGUUGUUGGGGGUUUGAGCUCCCCUGUCCUCUGGAGGCUUUUGAUUAGAUUAAAGUCCAGCAGUCAAUGAGGAUGGGUGUGGAGUGUGGGCUUCCCUGGGUUCUGGAGACUUUUGAUGGGAUUAAGUUCAGCUUAGUUGGGCUAGGUGUGCUCUCAGUCCAAAACCUCCUGGAAGUCUGGGGCAAAUAUGGAGGAUCUCCACAGCUCUGGCCAGGUUACCAGGUCUAUGCUCCUUCCCUAGCUCCUUCCCCGCUACCUGUGUUGGACACUCUGAACUUGGCACAGCCCUGCCCGCAAGGUAUGCCAUCCAGACCAGUACUUUUGCCUGCCCAGAAGUUCCCACUGGCACUGGAGUCUCAGCACUCUAGUUGGGAGUGGGGUUGGGUCCUGGGACCUUCCUUCUGUCUUCCCCUUAAACUUGAGUGUUCUCAGAUUCCAGCUUUUUGGUGGGUGUACCUUUUGAAUUAAGUCCAGCAGGAGGGUUCCUUGGCUUUGUCUUGUUGUUGAGUUUGAUUAUCACUCCCCUGGGACCAUUCAAUUUGUGAUCGAUAAGGAAGGGUAUUCAGAGGUCUGAAUUUCUGCUCCUUCUAGACUGCCAUCUUGACUCCGCCUCCUCAUGUCCAUAUUUAUUGACCUGAUAAGGAUCCACAAAUUCCCAUUUGUCUUCAGUGAUGUCAUAACUUUCUGUUGAAUAAAAUGUCUCAUGCCUAGUACUUCUAGCCAUAGCAUAGAUGUACCUACCAAUAACACGAACUGCAAAAUCUGAAUGUGGAACAGACAUAGCUGCCAUUCUCAUCCCAGUAUUUUGUCUUGGAUCAUACCUGAAUACUUCGGAGGAAGCAUGGAAUUGACCAUCUGGCCCCAGUUCUUCUCUGCCUAACAAGAACACAAAGUUAUUCAUGAUGGCAAGACAUUCUGGGUGUAGAGGUCUUGUGGACUCUCCAGCUCCCACCAGACCCAUGCUUUGUAUGAAAGAAGAAUUUUACUAUUAAUCAUGCUACAUUAUCUAGAGUUCAAAGGAUGGAGGAUAAAAUAUCUGAUUGGCCAGCAGGUAGGCAGAUCCCAAAUUAGGCACAUAAAUUACCUAAAAUGUACUACUAAGAAAAUUACUUGCAGGAAUCUCCAGAUCCCCUAUAAUAUUUUUAGGGCUCAACCUGGCCUGCAUAUCCAGAAUUAAAUAAUUCUUGUCUCAUGGUGACAAACAACUCUGGUGUCUCACUGUGCACGACUGGACUCAAAUACUGCAAUUAAGUUUUCCCACAUUGGUAAUAAAGCUAUAACUAAAGGUUUUCCUAUAGUCAUUCCAGUCAAGUAGUUUCUCUCCAGUGCAAGUUCUCUUUUGGACAAUAAUGUGAGCCAUUAAAAUGAAAACUUUCUCACAUUAAUCCAAUUCAAAGGACUUUUCUACCCAGUAUAGAUUCUCUGAUAUUUAGUGCUGUUUGGUGAUGGAAGCUUGCCCUACAUUCAUUACAUUGAAAUGGUUUCUCUCCAGUUCCUACUGACGUUCUCUUAUGUUUUAUAAGGCUUUACCUUACCCUGAAAGUUUCCCCAUAUUCAUUAUAUUCAAUUUUUUUUAAAUUUUAAGUUCUCUGAUAAAAAAUGAUGUGUUCUUUUGGAAAUAAAGCUUUCCUAUAAUAAAUGUUGGAGGGAAUGUGGCAAAAUUGGGACAUGAAUGCAUUGCUGGUAGAGUUCUGAAAUAAUCCAAGCAUUGUGGAUGGCAAUUUGGAACUAUGCCCAAAGGGCAUUAAAAGACUAUCUGCUCUUUGAUCCAGCCACAGCACUGCUGGGUUUAUACCCCAAAGACAUCAUAAGGAAAAAGGCUUGUACAAAAAUAUUUAGAGCCUUACUCUUUUUGGUGGCAAAAAAUUGGAAAAUGAGAGAGUAUCCCUUAAUUGGGGAAUGGCUGAACACAUUGUGGUAUAUGAUGGUGGUGGAAUACUAUUGUGCUGAAAGAAAUAAUUAAUUGGAGGAAAUCCAUGUGAACUGGAAAUACCUCCAGGAAAGGAUACAGAACUAAGGAGCAGAACGAGGAGAACAUUUUAGACAGAGACUGAUACACUGUGGUACAAUCGAAUUUAAUGGACUUCUCUACUGGCAGAAAUACAGAGACCCAGGACAAUUCUGAGGGGAUUGUGAGAGAGAAUGCUAUCCACAGUCAGAGGAAAAACUGUGGGAGCAGAAACAUAGAAGAAAAACAACUGCCUGAUCACAUGGUUUGAUGGGGAUAUGAUUGGGGAUAUAGACUAAACAAUCACCCUAGUGCUAAUAUCAAUAAUAUGGAAAUAGGUUUUGAUCAAUGAUACAUGUAAAACCCAGUGGAACUGCACAUCGGCUAUUCUGGGGGAAGAGGAGGGGAAGAACAUGAAUCAUGUAACCAUGGAAAAAUAUUCUAAAUUAAUUAAAUAAUUAAAAAUUUUCAAUUAAAAAAGAAAAUAAAGCUUUCCCACAUUUAUGAUCAUAAAA